rnacentral:lncRNA from 1 species
GCCAGUAUCAGAGAUUUCUCUAAGUUGCUGUAGCCUAUCUACCUAAAAUGUCUACCAAUACAUUUGGAAGGUGUCUUGACUUAUGACUGUCUUUGUUCUGGUACUAUAAAAUCUUUAUGAAAUGGUUACCACCUUUGAACAUAGUAUUUGUGGUGACUUAAAUCUGUAUUUCUGGGCUUUGGUCACGCACAUUUGGUGACAGAAUAAAUAAUUUCUUAUUUUCAUUGAGGUAAGAACUGUAGGUUACAUCAGUGUGGCAGUAACAAAUUAGCACAAACUUUGUGAUGUGACACGAUACAAAUGUGUUAUCUUUUGGUUCUAUAUUUAGAAGUUCUAAAGUCAAGGUAUUAGCAGAGAUCCAUUCUUAUUACAGGCUCCAUGGGACAAUGACUCUUUGUUCUUUCCAACUGCAAGGAAUCAUUCACACUUUGGAGCCAUAGCCCUUCUAUUCAUCUUCAAAGUAGAAACACAGCAUCUUCAAAUUCUUCAACCCUUUCCUCUUCUGACCCUAACCUUACUGAUUCCCUCUUAUAGUAAAUCUUGUGAUACUUCCUGAGUCUGUCUAGAUAAUUCAGGAUAAUGUUACUACUGCUAAUAUAGUCACAGCUACCAAGUCUUUCUUGCCACAUAAAGUCACAUGUGUAUAUGUUUUGUAAUUAAUAGAUGGUCAUAUCAAGGAAGGAAAAAUCAUUACCUUGUCUCUGCAGGGAAGUAGCAGGGAUGGCUGAACCAUAGAGUAUCAAACAUUAGAACAUAGUAAUACGUUUCCUGAGAUUGUGCCAGAGUCAAAUCUGAUCUUAUUUGGGAGUUCCAGCUGUCCCUCAGUUACUCGUCUCUAAAUCUCACAGCAUUUCUAAACAGUACUUAUUACAUAAAACUACAUUCAACUCUUCCAUCGAAUGCUCUUUCCUGGUGGUGCAGUAGUAAAAGCUCCAGGAUGGAGGAGGAAGGGCUUGUGGACUGGUGGAUUUUCCCCAUGCCCCUUCUCAGAAACAUACUAUUUUCACAGAUGUCAAAGUCGUGGCGGUGGGGUGGGUCAAAGUUACUUGUUUAAUCAAAAGUAGAGAGAACUUAGCAUUUGAAAUGGAAACGAAGGCUCCAGAAUGUAUUAAAUGAAAGUGUUACUUUCCUGGGAAAACCCCUGUUGACUUAUGAGCAAGAAAGAAAAGUUGCAAGCAGGUGACCUUUUCAUGUUACUUAAUUUAUUUGUGGCAGGUGCUAAUCCUAUGCUUGAGGAAAUUGACAACCAAAAACUUUUUUGAUGUUUUCAGAAGAGAAAAUGUUAUUUCUUCUUUCUUCUCCUAAGGAUAUUUAACUACAGUUCAUGAUGAUGAUGAUGAUGAUGAUGAUGACUCUUGACUUUGAUCUAGUCCCUGCUAUAUAUAAGGUCCUGACAGCUGAUUGUGUGCUCUGAAAGCAAACUGAUAACCACAGCAGGGUAAUGGAAAUUCUGUUAAAUGGUGCAUUGAUUAAAAAUGGCAAUUUCAGUUUAAUGACGUGUGGUUUAAAAAAGAAAAUCGAAAUCUCAGUAGCGUUUUCUUCCUUUCCAUAUUUUUCUUGUCUCCAUGGAUGCUAACAACCAUACUUUUUAACUUUUUGUAUAUUAGGUGUAUAAAGUACUGCAUUUCAUUUGUGGCAUUUCCAUUUAUGAAUAUCAUGAUUUUGAUCUUAUUUACCUUGUUUACCCACUCCCAUUCCCCUUUCUCUGCCAUUUUCCUGUUCGAAAUCCCUAACAAUCUUCUUUUUAGUUUAAUGUCCCUCUUAUUUCUCCCCAGGUUCCAAUUAUGACAGAAAAUGUGACACUUGUGGCUUAUUUCACUUAACAUGAUGAUCUCCAGUUCUAUCCAUUUUCAUGUAAAUCACUUCAUUUUGUUAUUUUGAAAAGUCCUGAACAAUUAAUGUAUAUUAGUUUUCUUAAAUAAUGGGUUUCAUCGUGACAUUUCUUAUACAUGUAUAUAACAAUGUGAGUUCACCAUAUUCACUUUCUAUUACCCCUCUAUGGGUCUCCUCCUUUCUUCUUAUUUUCAAGUUGUGUGUGUGUACACCUAGAUUUCACAUAUGAGAGAAAAAUGUGAUAUUUAUCUGUCAGAGUCUGCACUUGACUAUUACAAAUGAUUUUUUUUUAAAAAAUAAUUAUGUGUAGGUAUAUGACUACAACAUAUUAAAGCAGGUGGACUCAGAGGCCAGAAAUAUUGGAUCCUCUGGAACUGGAGUAAAAGUAGGUUAUGAGCAGCCUGGCGUGGGUGCUGGGGACUGAACUCUGCUCCUCUACUAGGUGGUAUUAGCUAUCUUUCCAGACCCCGAGUUUUUCCAUUUUUAAAUUGGAUUAAUUUUUGUGGUUUAUUUAUUUAUUUUACUUAUUUUACAUACUCUAUAUUCUAAUAUUCUGUAGGAUAAAUAGCUGGUAAAGGUUUUCUUCUAUUGUGGGAAUUGUAUUUUCAUUCUGUUGAGUGUUUCCCUUUUUAAACAUUUAUUUAUUGUAUGUGUGUAUGAUAUAUGCGUGUAUGAUGUGUGUAUGAGCAUGUGUGCAUGCUUGUGCAUGUGUGUGUAUGUGUUUGGUAUGUUUGUAGUGAUCUAGAAGUCCUACAGCAAUAGCUCUCAGAAUCAUCUAAAAGAUUUGCAAAAACACAGAUUGUUGGAUCCCCAUUCUCGGGGAUUAUGAGACAAUGAAUCUAAGAUGGAGCCUCAGAAUUUGCAUUUCUAACCAUUUCCCAAGUGAUAGUAUGGUUGUUGGUCCACAGAUCACACUGUCUAUUAUGCCAUGCCUGUGGAGGUCAGAGGACAAGUUUCAGGAGUCAGUUCUCAUCUAUUUCAUCUAUUAUAGAACUCAGUUGUUUGGCUUGGUGGCAAGUUCCUUUAUCUACUCAGCUAUCUUACUGGACCUGAUUGCUUUCUUCAUUGUACAGAAGAUUUUUAACUUGAUGUAAUCCUGUUUGUCAUAGUUUGUCUCCAUUUUCUACACUUUCAAUUUUCCUGAGGGAAUUGCUACCUGGGCCAACAUCUUCAAGGGUUUCCCUUGUACUGUAGCUUAGUAGUUUCAGAGUUUUAGGUUAGACAUUAGGUUCUUUGAUCCAGUUCAAUUGCUUUUUAUACAGGAUGAGAAAUAGGUAUCUCAAGUUAGUCCUCUACAGGUAGAGAUACAGAACCAUUUAUUAUAGAGAUUGCAUUUCCAUCAACAGUUUUUUUUUGAUACUUUCCACUUGAUACAGUUUUGGUAAGUCAUAUGUGUCCAGUGUCCAGAAACAUACCAAUUUCUUCUAGAUCUUCCCAUUUCUUUCUAUACAGUUUAUAAAAAGACUAAUGAGACUUUGAAUUUCUCUGUUAUCAGUUAUCUUUUCUUGCUUCCAAUUUCUCUUUUUUAUUCUGGCUAAAGGUUUGUCAUUUUUCAAAGAACUUUUUUUUUCUUCAAAGAACUAAGGCUAAUUCAUUGAUUCUUUGAAUUGUACUCUAGUCUCUAUGUAGCAGGUUGAAUGAGAAUGGCCCUCAGAGGCUCACAUAUUUGAAUGCUUGGUCCUCAGUGGGUGCUACUCUUUGGCAAGGAUUAGGAGGUGUGGCCUUGUUGGAGGAAGAGUAUCACUGGCAAUGGGCUUUGAAGUUUCAAAAGGCUCUUCCUCAUUCCCAGUUAGUUUUCUCUCUCCUAUUUUUGUAUAAGGAUUUGAGCUCUCAGCUACUGCUCCAGCUCCGUGCCUGCUUACCUGCUGCCAUGUUUCCUGCCAUGAUGGUCAUGUUAACCCUUUGGAAUUGUGAACCUCAAAUUAAAUGUUUUCUUCUACAAGUUGCCUUGGUCAUGCUUUGUCAUAACAAUAGAAAAGUUACCUAAGACACACCAUUUCAUUUCUUUAUGCUCUGGUGUUUAUUUACUUGAUUUUCUUUGAUGUACUACUCAUUGCUAAGAACUUCCCUUCUAGCACUGCUUUGACUAUAUCUCACAGAGUUUGCUCUGCCUGUUUCUAGGUUUACUCAAGUUAAUGAAUUUUAAGACUAACCCUGUGACCUUUUCAGUCACUGAAAGUAUCUGUGUUAUUCAGAGCUGAGGAUAUGCCUCAGAUGGUAGAGUGCUUUACAUAACUAAUCACCUUUAUGAUUGGAUUUAGUACUUAUUUCACAGUACAGAAUUUACACUUGGUAUAGUAAAACUGGUCAAAAUAACAAGGCUGGAAAGGCUCUUGCUGCUGGUUUUGCUAAAUAGACAUGAUAUCACAUUGCCUUUUAAUCAACUAUAUUUCUACUCAGAGAUUGGUGUUGCUCUCACUUUAGUCAGAGAAGCUGCUUUUGCAGUGGUAAUAGUGUCUGCUGAGACUCAUAUCUCGCUAAAGUAAUGUGAUUACAUGUUUAUAUCAGUUAGGUUUCUUUGAAGGAACAGAACUGAUAGAAAAAAGUGUGUGUGUGGUGUGUGUGUGUCUGUGUGCUUGAUAUUUGUUAGAGUAGCUUACAGGGUGUAGUUUGGGUAGUCCCACAAUGGCUGACAGAAAGGCCAGGAAUCUGGCAGUUGUUCAGCCUGAGAGACUGGAUGUCUCAGCAGUCCCAAUCUGUUGCUGAAGUCCCAGGGACAUCCAAGACAGCUUGGGUUUCAAUCUAUGUUGAAAUCCCAAAGAAGUCAGUUCUAGUAACUAGCAAACAAAUCUUUCAGCAACAUGAUAGAUGAACGUGCCAAGUGAGAGUGAGGGCAAACAGGCAAAGCCCAAAACACUUCUUUCUCUCAUGCUCUUCUAUGUGGGCUGCCACUAGAAUUUAGGGUGGGUCUUCCAACCCCGAAUGAGUCACUCAAGAAAAUCCCUGACAGGUAUACCCAGCUGCUUGCAUUUUAGUUCCAGAUGUAAUCAAGUUGACAACCAAAUUAGCCAUUGCACUGUUGAAUACCAAUCCAGAAAUAGGAGAUCUAUAUUACUCUCUUUGAGGCUUGGGGAACACUAUAUAUGAAAAGACUGAAUGAAUGAAAUUGCUGCAAGACUGCUGUGGAAUGCUGACUUCUUUACAGGAAUGACCACUGCAGUCUUGAACUCAAGAGCAGCUUGUAAUUACCCAUAUAAGAUCUGUACUAGAUUGGGACCAAGAAUACCCUUCCAUGGAAGAGUAGUGUAUUUGUGGGGUCCUGCCUUCCAUGGGGAUUUAUACAUGGUAUAUGGGUGAUGUGUGAGGGAGAGACGUUUUCUUCAGUGAUGUAGCCACUGAUAAGGUGCCCACAUUCCUCUAAAUAAUCAUAAUAUUUUUGAGUCUCUCUGUUUCUCUGACUCUGUCUCUCAUAACACCCACCCACCCACACAAACACACAAACACACAUACACAUAUAGACAAAAGUAGAGGCAAGCAAAUUGGGAAGAUGAAGAGGAUUAAUAGGAGCAGAGGGGAUAAGAUGAGGCAAUGUUUGCACCCAUAUGAAAAUGUCAUAAUGAAAAACAUUAUGUAUAUAAUUAAAAUGUGCUAAUAAAAACAUUUUAAAAACUUGGAAUAGUGACACACACCUUUAAUCCCAGAACUUGGGAGGUGGAGGCUAAAGGAUCCGAACUUAGUAUCUUCAUGUCAUAACCUUCUAACUGCUGGGAUUAUAAACCUGUACUAUAAAACCUUGCCACCUCCAUUUCUUAAGUUGAAAUACCUGCCAAGGCCUAUGUUGGAAAAAAAAAGCUGCAUUUUGGAUUUUUCUAGUCAGUACAUUGUGGGGCAGAGUAUUGACCAAAGGCUUUUUACCUUUCCAUUCAUUCUUACAGACAUCAAGUAGAGAACCAUCUUGACUGAAGCUAUUUAAAUUUGAGUUGUAUGUCAGAAACGAACAGCAGGGAAGAUAUUGGGCAUCAAACACUCUCUCUGGAGCAUCUUAGGCUGUGUAUUCCAGAAGCAGAACAAAAGCUGGAACUGCAGUGUGUUCCCAGAUACCUUUAUGGAUGAUGGUGGGGACAAUGGAAUUCCAAAAUUCUUUUAUAGGAGAGAGCUGUGGGAACCUGUUUUGCUGAUGUCCUUAAUCCUGGCAUCUCAGUUUCAGUACCUAUACAAAACCACUGGCUACAGGUUAUACCCAGGACUCCGAGGAUGUGUUCCUUGUUCUAAGUAGCUUCUGCUUGGCCCUGCAUCAGAGCCUAUGUUCUGCUAAGGAUCCAGAUCCACCUUGGCUUGGAGAGGGGUUCCUGGGAGAAGGAGUGUUUGAGAGCUGAAAAAAUAACAGACUGGGAGUCAGUUCCUGUGUACAAGCUGAUGGUCUGUGUUCUGCUCGAGACAGCUUUCUCUAGAGUUCUUCAGACAGCUCAUCCAGAUAGCUCAGACUAAGGCCCAGUCCUUUAUUUACAUACCAAUCCAGUCAUUUACUCCAGGGUCUCUUUUAAUUAUCCCCAGAAUCAGUAUUCCAUGUUCCCAGCCCCCUGAUUCUUGGAAACAGACAGCAAGCAUUUUUUUUUAGCAUUGCAAAUGAAUUCAGGGAUCUGCCUGCAUUUGUAAGCACAAACAAUAAACUUAGCUUCGUGGAAUCCUGUCCUGAGAUUAAAGUUCCAACCAUGCCUGGACCUAAAUUCACUCUGUCCCAGGCUGACCUUGAAUUUAGGAAUUUGCCUACCUUUGUAUCUCUCUGUCUUUGUAUCUUUCUGACAAGCUGGCUCACAGUACAGCUGCUUAUAUUCUUUUAGGCUCUUGAAGCCCUUCAUAUAAUUAAUAUUGCAUCCUUAUAUUUUGCAUAGUUAAGAAAUUAUAUAUUUUUGGACUCCUAUUUUCAGAGUUCUUUCCCAUAGCCUUAAGAACUGUCCUGGACAUCACAACAUUUAGCAUUUUUGUUAUGUUCAUAGCCACACUCUGUCUCCUAUAUUCAUGCUGUCUCUGAUUAUCAUGGAAUCAUUAAUAUUAGCAAAGAGGAAGUUCCCUGAUAAUCUUAGCAGGGGGAAUAUUUCCCGAAAAAGUAACAUGAACUAAUACACACACACACACACACACACACACACACACACACAAGCCUCAUACCCACCAACCAUCCUCGUUCACAGAGGCCCAUGGCCUACUAGCUCUGUUCCUGGGGCAGGAAACAAUGUUACACCAUCCCUUCUGCAUGGCCUUGCAGGACUCAGCAAUGCUCUCCUCAGGUUAGAGCCCUUAGGUCAGUGGUUCUCAAGCCUCCUAACUUUGUGAUCCUUUAAUACAGUUCUUUGUGUUGUAGUGACCCUCAAACAGAGAAUUAUCUUUGUUUUUAUGUCACAACUGUAAUCUUGUUAGUGUUAUGAAUUGUACUAUAUGCAAGAUAUCUGAUAUAUGCCCUUGUGAAAGGUCCAUUGACCCACCCCCCCAUAGGGGGUCACAGCCCAUAAGUUGACCACUGCCUUAGGUAGUUUGAGCCUGUCUCUUCCAUGAGCUAAAGUUAUUUUUAGAUGCCUGCAGAGAUUAUAAGGAGGGAUGUCCACAGAGUCCUAGAGAUGCAAACAUGCAGGGCUUUUUGAUAUUCUGAGCACUAAAGCUGCCAAGGUGGAUCCCUGAUAUAGAACCCUGAAAAAAUGUCAGGAGAUAAUGUAAACUUUCUCUAAAUUCAGCCCACUCUGCAGAACUCAGAAAAUAUUGGCUUUUUCACCAGUACAUCCUUUUGAGACCAUCUCUCAUAUUUACCCUUGCAUAGGGAUAGCUCUCCUCCCCCUGGACAUGGUUCCAUGGGGCAGCUGCUAGGAUGCUUUGUCCCAAGUCUGAGUUUCACCAGAUCCCCUCCUUUCUCUUGCAUCCACUCACCUCAGCACAUAGCCACUCACCUAAUGCUUUGCUUCUGUCCUAUGCAGGAGCUGGUGAGUCCUGGAUGUGUCUGUUCCACAAUAUCUCCUGUUUUGUACCCCCAGUUUAUUUCAGUCUAUUCUGAGAAUUUCCCAGCUGAGAGAAUUUCAUUGUUCUCCAUUGUAUCUCCUUCAAUUAUGAUUCAGGGUGCUGUGGAGUACUGAAUGUUUGCAUUCUGGAAGUUUCUUAGUUGUUUUCCUGAAUCGCUGCCUGAAACAUAAAACAAUUAUGUAUUUGUUUGUUUACUCUUUUGUGUGUGUUUAUAUGUGUAUAUGAAGGUGCUCAUGUGCUACAGUGCAUGUUGAAGUCAGAGGACAACAUUUGGAAGUUGAGUCUCUUCUGCUACAUUGUGUGAUCUGUGGAUGAAACUCAGGUCAUAAAGCAUAUGUAAGAGGACACUGGCUGCUCUAGGACUGGAGAUACACAUAGUGGAGCCCAUGGAGGCCAGAAGACAGAUCCCCUGGAGCUGGAAUUAGGUAUGGUUGUGAACUACCAUGUGAGUGCUGGGAACUGAAUGCCGUCCCUUCCAAGAACACUUUCAGAGGGCAGAUAACAGCAUGGGAACCAGAAAACAGACAUACACUGGGGGAAAUGAGGAUGUCAGAAACUUUCCAGAUGGCUUGCAAUGAAUGCAGGUGUGCUUGGACCGCUGCCACUGCGUCUCUUCCUGAAAUGGUAGAGAGGAAAAUGCACUCCUGGUAAACAAAUCCAAUUUUAAAUGUGCCAGAGGAAUAUGCUAGCUAAAGAAAUCCAGCAAGGAAUCUGUUUAUUCAGCAUGUAAGCAUCCCUGUUUUUGACUUUUGCAUUUUUAUUGAGGUUUCUUUGAUUCUUGGAGAGGUUUCAGAGACUGUCACCGUAAACUGUAUUUAAAGUAAGUAUAAGUGCUGAUUUAGAUGGUGUGAGUUAGAUGCCUGUGAAGGAAGAAGAAGAAGAUGUUGUAUUGAUGGUUUAUGGUGUGUACCCGUGAACAUGUCUGGCAGUGACAGAUAACCAUUGUUUCUUGAUGCUCUCUUGUACCAGGCAUGGGUCUGAGUGUUUCUUAUGCAUUGUUUUCCUUUAACUUUCACAUCAGCUCUGCAGCAGAUACUGCUUUGCUCCUCUUACUGCUUAGAGAGGUUAAGUAAUUUGCUCAGGGUCAUAGUAGAGUGGAGAUUGGUUUCUAGGUAGCAGGAAACCCAUAUCUAG